ACUAUACCUCCUGGCUUCAGAGGCUUCAUGCUUUGGCCUCUGUGUCCAGCAGAGCUGAAGGUACUCUAGGCAGGACACGUCCAGCAGGGACGUGGACCUGCUUCCUUCCCCAAGCAGGGGGUACUCUCCACUGACCUCUAACCAACUAAACUCUUCCUUAGAGGAAGAGAAGAGAAUGGAAAGAAGGUUCCAUCCUCUACAAAUCUAGUCCUGCCAUGCUUGCUGCCACCUUUUGGUGAACCAGGUAUAUUACAUGAACAAUAACAGUUGUAUAGAAAUAGCAAUGCACAUUGUAGUGGACUGAAAAAAAUGCAUAAGAUGACACUGUGUUAGCCCAUACAAGAUAGUAGUGGGGUGUGGAGUGGUAAUGGCACUCUGGGUCAUUACACAUGUUAAUGCUUCGUGUCUCUGAUGUCCGGAACGGGGCUUGGCACUUUUUCACGCAGUGGAUUCCAAGCACGGGAUCCGCUCGUGUGAAAGAGCCCUUACAAUUUUACACUGUUCCUAGGCAGCAUCAGCAAUAAAAAAGCAGCACAACACACACUAAGAGACUUUACAUGUUUAAUAGGCACGAUACAUGUGCAGUUUCGGCAUGCAAUAUAAGUUGUUUUUCGCUUUUCUGAGAAACUGACAGCAGCGUUCGGUAGUCCGGAUUUUGCUAUUAAUUCCUUAUUGAGCUGCAAUAACCUUUUCUCAGCUCCCUGCGGUUUUCCCAUGCAACAAUUAGAACUUCAAAUGAGCACCUCUUGUCAGACUUUUA